GGGGGAGUAGGAGACCCCGGGGACCCAGACUGAGAGGAGCGAACAGGAACGCCGGGGAGACGCACGGCUGCGGGACCCAGCGGAUUCGCCCAGCUCUGCCUCUUUUCCUUCCCUUAUCAGAGGCAGCAUGACUCACUCCUUUGUUUCUGGAAAAGAGCCAGAUUUGAACUCCAGUGGAUCCAAGAUUGCCUUCAGGGAACAAGUGAAUAACUGAGCAUGGUGCCCAGUCCACCACAGCCUCUUCAUGAAGAACGAACACCACAGUGGUUGAAUUUUGCACCAUGUCAACAAAUGGUGGUUUUCUCUCUCCAUCUCGACUGGCCACGGAUGUCUUCAUUAGCUUUCCUUCCUUCUCACCACUACAUCACACGUGUUGAUCUCCAGUUAGUUCUUUUGUUAUUUAUGUGAUGAUAUUUUAGGGCGUAUUCAUUUCAAAAAGGAUAAUGUACUUAGCAAAUGUUAUAUAUGCAGGAGGUUUUAAGUGGGACUAAAUGCAGCAAUUAAUGCUAAUCAGUCUGCUGUUAGCAUGUAAUAUUCUUGGUUUUAUAAUCAUGCAUUACUGGAUGUGGAGCCUCAGUUUGUUUAACAGAUGCUGAACUUAAUGGCUACAUUCUCUUCCCAUGGAUAAGUUAGCUUUAGUUAAAUGUACCAUUAAAAAUAACCAUUUAAAAUGCUAAUGAAAACAGAGACUGUAUCUAUCAGGAAUUUUGUUUUAACCUCUGGUUUUACUACUUCUUGUUUUCAAAAGGACUUUGGGAAGAGGAGGAGCUUUUUGUCUACUUAAGGUGCUUUAAACAGAAAAAGAAAAGUUCAGUUCAUUGCAGUUCACAUGUAGUGUCUGUAGGCAAAGUCAAGAAAAAGGGAUUCACAGUGAAGGUCAAUGUCACUACAGUCUGGGGACUUCAGGCCUGCCUUGUUAACACUGACCAUACUUGGAAACUGACUCUCCUGUGGUUGGCAUCUCUUGUUUCUUUUCAGUGUCCAUUUCGGAUGUGAAUCAAAAUCGAACAGUUUGAGUUAAUGGUAGUUCAACUGGUUAAUAUCCAAAUACGGUCUUUGUGAAAGUACCAUUAUUCUAUCACAGAUUAGGAUCAAAGAGGGAAAAAUACCAGGAUGUUGCUACUUAGGAAUGAAUACCUGAUCCUUCCUGAACAUCAAGAGGCCUAGUUUGGGCUUUCUCAUGGGAAGAUGGAGUUUGUCUAAUGAAGGAUUAAUAGAUGCCCAGGGAGAGCUCUAUACCUUUCUUUAUGGCAUCUCUAGUGAUGCCCUAAAACAGUUUCUCCAGGUCUCUGAAUGUGGCUGCAUGGUGACUAGGAUAGGGUCAAGGGAUGUCUGUGUGUUGGGAGAGCCCAUGUGUAUUUAAUGGUUAUGACUCAGGCCUCCUGGACCUUCUAGUUUCUUGGCUCAGCUAUAUACCUCUCCAGGCUAAGUCAGUUCAGAGCAGGGUAGCUGGUACAUGCUAGGAAGAGCUACAUGGGGAGGGAUUAGCCAGAUGCAGUAAGCAUGUUUAUAAGGAGUUUUUCAAGUGUGAAAUCUAACUCUCUUGUUUGUAGGAAGUGACUUCAUCCAGUAGGAAUACUCAUUCCUUCCCCUGGUGAGUCCUCUUGGUUCUGGGAGCUUUUGUUUUCUCUUUUUCUUUCAGAAUUUACUCAAAUAAUAAUGUAUCUGGGGGAGAACCAAUGCUACUUGAAGGCAAUGUAAUCUCAGGAUUGUUGGUUCAGAGCUUGGGAGCUUAUAUAUUAAGGUAAAAACUCAGUAGAGCAAGUUAGGCUAAUUAUCUGGAAGCCAGAAAAUAAUGAAAGGACAGAAAGGCAUCUUCAUAGUCUGAGGAUUUGGAGCCAAAGUGUUUACAGAAUACAGGUCUAUGGAUGGAGCCUGUGGUUGCUGCCACAUUUUUUUCAUUGACAGUUGCCCAGGAGCUUUUGAAGGCUUUUAAGAUGGAGCUGCUGCUACUGCUAAGUCACUUCAGUCGUGUCUGACUCUGUGUGACUCCAUAGACGGCAACCCACCAGGCUCCCCCGUCCCUGGGAUUCUCCAGGCAAGAACACUGGAGUGAGUUGCCAUUUCCUUCUCUAAGGAUGGAGCUACUUGGAGCUAAAACUGUACCAUUUCUCUUAACCAGACCAGCAUCCUUUCUGAUUUUGAGGUUUUUGAUCAUGUCCACCUCUGGAUUUGCUCCCAUUAGUAGGAACAUCUUCUCCAGGCAUGCAGAACCUGAGGUAGAGGUUCUUUGGGAAAUAGGAACCUUUGCUACCUGAUCAGUGGAUGUCCAGUCUGAUCUGGGAGAUUCAAUAGGACAGGGUGAGCAGAUAGACUGAUACAAAGUAAAGAUAACAUGACCAGUGAAAAUUUCACACUAUCUUAUGGAGUGAAAACUUAAUGUCUUGUUUUAAAAUACAUGCCAAAUCAGCUAGCAGAGAUUGUUCAGUUAGCUGGUGCAUCAUUUCCAUCCAUGUUCUCACAUACAGCUCCCUGGGUUCACUAUACCUCCUCAAUAGUUUGAGAUUCUUUGGUCAGGAAAUACCUUUGACUGAUGGAAAUCUACCCUAACUGUCCAGUUGCCAGUCUGGGGAGUAGAAGAGAACAACUUAGGUAGAAAGUGGAAAGAGGACCUUUUCCUCUUCACAACAAACACCAUUUCAACUUCAGUCUUGGGACUCUAGGCAGCCAAGUUUCCAUAUUUGUGUAACAAUUUUUGUGUAUGUGUAAGGGAGGGAUCUGCCUUUUGUUCCAAAGUUUUAAAUUCAGGAAUCUUCCACAGCUGUGGUGAGGUUAUAGUGAUUGGUAGAAAAGAAUUCCAUAUGGACUAAAUUUGUUGGUUGCAUUGAACAUGCUUCAAUUCUAUUUUGACAAAUGUUUGCUAAGCCACUGGGGUCUUUUACCAUGCCAGGUCUGAAAGAAUCACAAGAGUGGAAAAGACAUGGUCCUUUCCUUAAGAAAUCAUAGACUCACCUUUUCCCCAAUCUCACCUACUGCUUUGAAUGUAUUUUUAAAUAGAUGGGUAUAAAGGGGGUAGAAAAUGGGAGUGUAUAAGAAGGAAUUUCUUCUGGGUUACUAAGAAACUUCUGACUUGAUAGCAAAGCCUACAGCUGGUGUUAACUUUUUAACAUGAAGCUUCUGUGACUUAAAGGAAAUAGAAUCUCAAAUCAGCUGGGGGACAAUGCUGAUUGAGACACAAGUGGUUUUUCACAAGAUCAGUAAAGGGUGGUGUAUACUAAAGACUUCAGCUAACCUUUGUCCCUAGUUCCUGGGAGGUAACCUCUAAAUCCUUGGAAUUUUUCUAAGUCAUAGGUGUUUCUCUGUCAUUUCCUGUUGGGCUCUCUUGGACCACGCUUGAUGAGGGGAUUCAUGGUGGGACCCUAGAUGGUUUAUGCUAACAAGAUGACUCAAGGUGGGGUUGGCUAUGCCAGAAAGACCCACCCACUAUGUGAUUAGAGUGCUGGGGCAGGAGAGGGGACCUGGAACACUGAGGUCAACCAGUAGCCAGUGAAUCAAUCAAUCAUGCCUAAAAGCAAUGAAAGUCCAGUAAAAACUCUGGGCACCUCAGCUUGGGAGAACUUCAGCUGACAACACUGUACAUUGUCACCCAUCAGUGUGCUGGGACAGUGGACUCAUGCUUGGGGCUCUCUCAGACUUCACGCUACACAUUUCUCCCUUUGGCUGAUUCUUUUCUUUUUGUAAACAUUUUUACUGGGACAAAUGUUCAGACAAUAUAUUCCUAGUGGUCAUCAAAUACUUCUUCUUGGCCACAUGGCAUUUAGGAUCUUAGUUCCCCACCAGGGGCUGAACCAUGUCCCCUGCAGUGGGAGCUCAGAGUCUUAACCACUGGACUGCCAGGGAAGUAGCUGACUGAUUUGUAUCCUUCUAUAUAAUAAAACUGUGAUCACAAGUAUAACA
rnacentral:lncRNA from 1 species